UCCACUCCUGACGGAAGGACCCUGUGCUGUUUGUGUCCCAGCUCCUGAACGCUCGCCCACCAGCCCGCCCAGAUGUCCUGCCAGCAGAGCCAGCAGUGCGUCCCCAAGUGCCCUCCCAAGUGCUGCACCCCCAAGUGCCCUCCCAAGUGCUGCACCCCAAAAUGCCCUCCUAAGUGUCCCCCCAAGUGCCCUCCAGUCUCCUCCUGCUGCAGUGUCAGCUCUGGGGGCUGCUGUGGCUCUGGCGGUGGGGGCUGCUGUAGCUCUGGGGGUGGGGGCUGCUGCCUGAGCCACCACAGGCCCCGCAGGUCUCUCCGCCUCAGACACAGAAGCUCUGGGGGCGGAGGCUGCUGUAGCUCAGGGGGCUCCAGCUGCUGUGGAGGGAGCUCUGGAGGGGGCUCCAGCUGCUGUGGAG